rnacentral:rRNA from 1 species
UACAGAGGGGGCAAGCGUUGUUCGGAAUUACUGGGCGUAAAGGGCGCGUAGGCGGCCGCCUAAGUCAGACGUGAAAUCCCUCGGCUCAACCGGGGAACUGCGUCUGAUACUGGGUGGCUUGAAUCCGGGAGAGGGAUGCGGAAUUCCAGGUGUAGCGGUGAAAUGCGCAGAUAUCAGGAGGAACACCGAUGGCGAAGGCAGCUCGCUGGGACGGUACUGACGCUGAGGCGCGAAAGCGUGGGGAGCAAACAGG